AUGAUAUUAUCCUUGACAUGUGGUGGUUGGAAGAUAUUGGUAAUGGUGAAAUGUGGGUCAAUUGGCGCCGCGAGAAGCUCUGGUUUAAUCAUGAAGGCAAGCGGGUCACUUUGCGUGGCAUUACUGAUAAUCAGAUGGUGCACCAUGCAAGGGGAUCUCCCAAACGCUUGUGUUAAUAUUGAUGCAGGAAGGGGUGAUUAUUCAAGGUAUGUGAGCCUUGACGGAGCAGAAUCACUUAAUCCUACUGCAUAUGGGGAUCUGUACAAUAAGACUGACUUGUGCGAAAAUAACUCGGAUGCCAAACUCUUGGUGAUAAAAUCACACAACCAGGAUGUUGUUCAAAGGAGCAUAAACUAA
rnacentral:rRNA from 1 species